rnacentral:rRNA from 1 species
UCCUACGGGGGCAGCAGUAGGGAAUUUUCGUCAAUGGGCGCAAGCCUGAACGAGCAAUGCCGCGUGAACGAGGAAGGUCUUCGGAUCGUAAAGUUCUGUUGAAGGGGAAAAAGAGCGGAGAGAGGAAAUGGUCUCCGAUUGAUAUUACCCUUCGAGGAAGUCACGGCUAACUACGUGCCAGCAGCCGCGGUAAUACGUAGGUGGCGAGCGUUAUCCGGAAUGAUUGGGCGUAAAGGGUGCGUAGGCGGCCUGCUAAGUCUGGAGUGGAAGGUACCGGCUCAACCGGUACAGGCUCUGGAAACUGG